GGGCGAUUAGCUCAGUUGGUUAGAGCGCAGCGUUGACAUCGCUGAGGUCGCAGGUUCAAAUCCUGCAUCGCCCACCA
rnacentral:tRNA from 1 species